rnacentral:rRNA from 1 species
UACGUAGGGGGCAAGCGUUGUCCGGAAUUAUUGGGCGUAAAGAGCUCGUAGGCGGUCUGUCGCGUCUGCUGUGAAAACUCGGGGCUUAACCCCGGGCCUGCAGUGGGUACGGGCAGACUAGAGUGCGGUAGGGGAGACUGGAAUUCCUGGUGUAGCAGUGAAAUGCGUAGAUAUCCGGAGGAACACCGGUGGCGAAGGCGGCUUCCUGGACCGACACUGACGCUGAGGCGCGAAAGCUAGGGGAGCAAACGGG